UGGGGAAUUUUGGACAAUGGGCGAAAGCCUGAUCCAGCAAUGCCGCGUGUGUGAAGAAGGCCUUCGGGUUGUAAAGCACUUUUGUCCGGAAAGAAAUCCUUGGCUCUAAUACAGUCGGGGGAUGACGGUACCGGAAGAAUAAGCACCGGCUAACUACGUGCCAGCAGCCGCGGUAAUACGUAGGGUGCAAGCGUUAAUCGGAAUUACUGGGCGUAAAGCGUGCGCAGGCGGUUUGCUAAGACCGAUGUGAAAUCCCCGGGCUCAACCUGGGAACUGCAUUGGUGACUGGCAGGCUAGAGUAUGGCAGAGGGGGGUUAGAAUUCCACGUGUAGCAGUGAAAUGCGUAGAGAUGUGGAGGAAUACCGAUGGCGAAGGCAGCCCCCUGGGCCAAUACUGACGCUCAUGCACGAAAGCGUGGGGGAGCAAACAGGAUUAGAUACCCCUGGUAGUCCACGCCCUAAACGAUGUCAACUAGUUGUUGGGGAUUCAUUUCCUUAGUAA
rnacentral:rRNA from 1 species